rnacentral:lncRNA from 1 species
GUUUCAAGGAAGCCUGUGCCAUUAACUUGUGCAUUACUUUACAGACUAUCUCGCUGUUCUGUCUUUCAGUAUAUCGGUAGCUUGGAUGUACCGAGGCCCAACAGCCGCGUGGAGAUUGUGGCAGCCAUGAGGAGGAUUCGGUACGAGUUCAAAGCCAAGAACAUUAAGAAGAAGAAAGUGAGCAUCAUUGUCUCCGUGGACGGCGUGAAAGUGAUUCUGCGCAAGAAACAGAAGGUGAGACUUCUCCAGCACCCGAGGGGCAAUCGGGAGCCGGAGCAGUCCUGGAGGGGCAGCUGGCUGUGCUGCAUGGCCACAGCCGGCAUCGUGCACCACAGCAGAGCUGCAAGUACCUCACAGAACUAGACAAAACCAUCUAGUCACUUCCCAUGUCUGGAGGUAAGAUCUGUCACACCUAAAUCAUCCCUGGCAGGUAUUUGUGAAAGGUCUCAUCCCGCUCGCACGUAGUCUGGGAUUCUGUUAAACUGUUGAACUUGGGGAUUAGGAGCCUUUCCAAAAUUCAGGUUACAACAAGCCCUGGAUGUUCUCACGGCCCAUGCAAGAGUCACAUGGAGACUGGGCAUUGAAAGCUAUUGGCCUUGGUUACUGCCUGUGCCUGUUCCAGACAAAGUAGAUUUUUUUGGUGCACUCCAAAGAUCAGCAGGGAAAGUGAGGCAAUGGGAAGCUUUGCACAAGCAGGAUUUGCAUGUUUGCAUCUUAGUGGGGGUUCUGUAAUGCUGUCUCAGAGUUAUUUUACGUGUAGGCUUUGAAUGUGUCUGAGUAUUAGAGCUGCUCAGAAUAAUUAAAUAAACUUCUAACCCAAACUGGCA